UACAGAGGAUGCAAGCGUUAUCCGGAAUGAUUGGGCGUAAAGCGUCCGCAGGUGGCCGUUCAAGUCUGCUGUCAAAGACCGGGGCUUAACUUCGGAAAGGCAGUGGAAACUGAACAGCUAGAGUAUGGUAGGGGCAGAGGGAAUUCCUGGUGUAGCGGUGAAAUGCGUAGAGAUCAGGAAGAACAUCGGUGGCGAAGGCGCUCUGCUGGACCAUAACUGACACUCAGGGACGAAAGCUAGGGGAGCGAAUGGG
rnacentral:rRNA from 1 species